ACACUCCGGGAGGCUGCAGGUGAUACCUGGGCUGUAAAACCACCCCAGCAGUACCAGCCCGAUACUGCAAUUAUUCCCUACUUUCGCUACUGAGACACACAAUAGUCAUAGCUCUUUGAUCAUCAGCUGCUCGUAUGCCAUCUCCUCUAGAGCCUGAUGAAAAGACUGCAGUAAAACAACCAGCCUUGUUUUCCUAGAGAAGAUGGUUAUGUUAGCUAAUGGUACUUUUGCAGCUUAGAGGGAAGUUUUUUAUCAUACCACGAGUUUACAGGAUGGCAGAUGAAAGGAACAGCGGAGCAGCGAGGUGUCACUGUGCGAUGAAAGCCCCCCAAGGCAGGGGGCACAGAGUGCCCAGCGGGCGCUUUGCUUUGCUGGCUCUGUGUGAUGCCACACGCAGCCGCCGGCUCAAACGCCUGCCGGUGCUGCCUGGUCCUUGCCAGGCACACACAGCACUGGGAGCUCAGAAAGCAUCUGCCUGCCUUUCUGCACUGUACAUCAGAUGCUCCAUCCCUUCUCUCCCUGCCGUGAAGCCUGGAUUUCCCAUGAUGUUGCUGCCUCCCAGGGCAGUGAGAAGCCUUACCCCCCGCUCGCCACUCAGGUGACGUUGCUGAGUUACACCUGCUGCUUGUGCAACGCUCAGCACGGAUCCCUGAGCGCGGAGGAGCAAAACCCCUCGGUGGCUCCUCCCCAAACGCAGCGCUGCGGUUCUGCAACAGGCAGAGCCCGGCCAGGGAGCAUCCUCUGCCGGCGCCCCGGGACGCAGCAGCGCGGGGCGGGUGGCACCUUUCCCAGAACAAAGGAAAUGGACAGUGAAACGUUCAGAAAGCUGCGGUCUGCUUCCAUACCUCUUAUCAGGGAGACUAAGGUGUUUUGUACACCGCCUGUCUUUCAAGCACAGGCUGCACCGUGUUGAUGCUUAAACAGAGCAGGAAGGCUGCCCCGGCCCCGGCAGGAUGCUCCCGAAAGGUGGUGAUCUCUUGCUAGGAUAAAUGAUCUCUGCUUCCACAACAUGACAAGAAAACCGAAGGACAUCUCGCAAAGCCAGAAUAAAAAUCAGCAGAUGGGUAAAAAGCUCUUUGGU
rnacentral:lncRNA from 1 species